rnacentral:misc_RNA from 1 species
GGUUCGUAUUCCCCGUACUAUAUUAUCCUGUAUGAUAUAUUAUUCAAUUGUGGAUCUGAACUCAUAAGUGAACGCGGUUUACUGUUCAGUCGUCCUCUGGUAAUCGUACAUGUGCGGUUCUCCGGUAGCGGUUUUUAUCGCGUUGACUACUGAUCAGUGCAGUAAUUUCAAAUUUGCAAUUGCCGUAGAUUUAACUUAUAUCAACUAUUAACUCCAGUACUUGCAGAGCGAGUUACGAACUGUUAUGUAUUUAAUAAAUAAUUGAAUAGGCCUCAAAAACAAUGAAAAUCCCAUUUGGCGUUUGCAUAGCCGUCUGCGGAUUGUUAUUCGCGUUGGACUCUGCGUCCACCGAAAAAGACGUGAGCGCCAAAAAUGAUCUUAAUUUGCUCGUACUCACAGUAGCUUCUGAAAAAAAUGAUGGUUACAAAAGAUUUAUCGAUUCUGCUAACCUAAAUGGCCUUAAAACUAAAGUGCUUGGUUUUGAUAAGCCAUGGCAAGGAGGUAACAUGAAUAGUGUUGGCGGUGGUUACAAACUAAAUUUGUAUCUUGAAGCAUUAGAGCCUUAUAAAAACAAUGAUAACUUAGCAGUAUUACUCACCGAUGCGUAUGAUGUUGUAAUUUUAGCAAACAGCAGUACAAUUCUAAAUAAGUUCACUGAGUUUGAUUCUUCAAUAGUAAUUUCAACCGAAAACAGUUGUUGGCCAGAUAGAAAAUUAGCAGAUCAAUAUCCUACUGUUGAUCAGAAUGGUUAUAGAUUUUUAAACUCUGGAGGUAUAAUUGGCUAUGCUAGCAAAUUGUAUAAGUUUCUAUCAGAGAAGCCAAUAAAAAAUCUUGGAGAUGACCAAUUACAUUUGACAAAUUUGUAUUUAAAUACUGAUUUACGUGAAAAGCUUAACAUUAAGUUGGAUAAUUAUGCAAAAUUGUUUCAAAAUGUCUAUCUUGCUGAAGACGAUAUAAAACUGAAACUUGUAAACAAAUCAUAUGUAUUGGAGAAUAUUAAUUUUAAUACUCAACCGGCUGUUGUCCAUGGAAAUGGAUUAUCUAAAAUAACAUUCAAUAGCUACACAAAUUAUAUUCCAAAUAAAUGGUCUCCUGAAAGUGGCUGUAGUACAUGUUAUGACAACAAUUUGGAUCUUUCAACACUCAAGGAAGAAAAUUACCCAAAAGUGCUAUUAUCUAUAAUUGUUGAUAAACCAACCCCAUUUUUUGAUGAGUUUUUAAAUAAAAUUGAAAAUAUUGAUUAUCCAAAGAACAGACUGUUUUUGUCUAUGACUACAUUGGUGGAAUAUCAUAAAGAGCAUGUGGAUAAAUUUAUUUCUAGGAUAGGUGAUCAAUACAAUGCAUCAUUUGUGUUUCAUAAGACUGCAGAAGAAAGCAUACAUGCGCGACACUUUUCAUUUUCAUUAUGCACUAGUAAACUGUGUGACUAUUUGUUUUACAUUGAGAAUGAAGCACAUUUAGAUAAUCCACAAACAUUGAAAACAUUAAUUCAGCGUAAUAAGAAAAUCAUUGCUCCAAUGCUCACGCGACCAUUUAAAGCUUGGUCUAAUUUUUGGGGAGCCUUAUCUAAAGAUGGAUUCUAUGCUCGAUCAUUUGACUAUAUGGAUAUUGUCAAUUACAAUAAAACGGGGAUUUGGAAUGUACCUUAUAUAAGUACUUGUUAUUUAAUGAAAGGUACAAUUUUAGAAAAUAAAUUUACCAGACCAUCGUACAAAGAAGAUAAUUUGGACUAUGAUAUGGCAUUUAGUAAAUCAUUAAGAGAAAAGGGAGUUUUUAUGUAUAUUGAUAAUCAAUAUACUUAUGGACAUUUGAUUGAUUCAGAAACAUUUGAUAUAACUCUUAAGAAUCCUGAAGUAUAUCAAUUAUUUGAAAACAGAUAUGACUGGGAACAGCGUUAUAUUCAUCCAGAAUAUAUGGAAAAUUUCAAUCCCGAUAAAAAACCGGCUGAGCCAUGUCCAGAUGUAUUUUGGUUCCCAAUUGUAACUGAACAGUUUUGUCGAGAAUUCAUUGAAAUUAUGGAGAAUUUCGGUCAAUGGUCAGAUGGUACAAAUAAUGACACACGCCUUCGAACUGGUUAUGAAGCUGUUCCAACCAGAGACAUACACAUGAAUCAAGUUGGACUUGAGAAGCAUUGGCUCGAAUUUCUUCGCUCAUAUGUUCUGCCUAUACAAAAGAAAGCGUUUAUUGGUUACAUUCACGACGUAUGUGGGAAUGAAAACCAAACAAAAUUUAAACAAUAUAAUAGCAUGAUCCCAGAUUGGAUAAUGGAUAUGAAGCUGUGCCAACAAGAGACAUUCAUAUGAAACAAGUGGGGUUACAAAAUGUGUGGCUAGAGUUCUUAAGACUAUUUGUUUCCCGAUUACAGGAGCAUGUGUAUCUUGGCUAUUACUCAGAUGGCCCCCCUCGUUCUGUAAUGAACUUUGUUGUCAAGUACAACCCACUUGGUCAGGCUUCUUUGAGACCACACCAUGAUUCGUCUACCUACACCAUCAAUAUAGCUUUAAAUUCUCCAGGAAAAGAUUAUCA